rnacentral:rRNA from 1 species
CGGGGUGCACCAGGCGCGAAAACUUUACAAUGCUGGCAACAGCGAUAAGGGGACCUCGAGUGCCAGGAUACAAUCUUGGCUGUCGCGAUGCCUAAAAAGCAUUGCAUAGCAAGGGCCGGGCAAGACCGGUGCCAGCCGCCGCGGUAACACCGGCGGCUCGAGUGGUAACCGCUAUUAUUGGGUCUAAAGGGUCUGUAGCCGGCCGGAUAAGUCUUUUGGGAAAUCCAGCUGCUCAACAGUUGGGCUUUCAGAAGAUACUGUUCGGCUCGAGACCGGGAGAGGUGAGAGGUACUUCAGGGGUAGGGGUGAAAUCUUGUAAUCCUUGAAGGACCACCAGUGGCGAAGGCGUCUCACCAGAACGGAUCUGACGGCAAGGGACGAAAGCUAGGGGCACGAACCGGAUUAGAUACCCGGGUAGUCCUAGCCGUAAACGAUACUCGCUAGGUGUCAGCCACGGUGCGACCGUGGUUGGUGCCGUAGGGAAGCCGUGAAGCGAGCCACCUGGGAAGUACGGCCGCAAGGCUGAAACUUAAAGGAAUCGGCGGGGGAGCAC